rnacentral:sRNA from 1 species
GGCCCCGCGGGGAGCGGCGGCGGCGGCGGAGGCGGUUUUGGCCCGAACUGCGACUUCAACAAAAAAUAAGAGAAAAAAGGAAUAUUUUCUAGAUGUUCAAAUCGUCUCCCUAGAGGAAAAAAUUAAGGUGAAAAGCACUGAAGUUGAGAUCCUAGAGAAGUCUCAAAUUGAAGCCAUUGCUUCCUCGUUAGGGAACGCGAAUCCCCUGAGCUGAAGGAGAAGGAAAAAUGGAUCUGCUUUCUUAAACCUUUCCCGAAUUUGCCCCUAGAACCACUCCUAUUCUUGACGCCCAGAAUGGUCAGUGGUGAGCAUCAAGGCCGUCUCGUACCUCCGUGGCCUCCAGUACACAAGAUGAGGCCUCCUGUACACAGUACUGGCCUCCAGUACACAAGACGAGGAAGGAGUUUGCUGCCAUGAGGGGGGAGGUUCUCCUUUUUCCUUUCCUCUUCCUAUAGUAAGACUUCCGUGGCACUGUCGCUGCCUGGCCAGUCUGGUCUCAGCCCAAGGUUUGAGAAGCAGUUGGUUGUGUGUUUAAAAUUCCAGAGCGGAGCCCAAGGGAGAGAACGGGUGGCCUGGCACCAGGGUUGGUGGCACCCAUUGUUUGAGGCACUGGCAUGGGGGGCACGAGGCAGAUCGGAAGUGGAGCUCUCGGCUUCCCAUCCAUCCGGGUGCGUUUUCUCCCAGGCCUUCAGUUCAGCACCCACCUCCUUUGCACACUGUGGGUGAGAAAAGCUUUGCCUGAGCCCAACCGGGGACUGGUCAUGCACACACAUGACAAGUGAGGAGCACUGGCGACUGCCUGCCCCCUAGCCACAGUUGUGCAAACCCAAAACUGCCAGCCUUCCUUCUCCUCAAAGUGGAACUGUUUAUCCCAUUUGCAAAUAAUUGUUUCUCUUGUGAAAAGAUGGACCGGACUUCUUCCAAUGAUGUUUAUAAAAUCAGGUCUAUUUUCCUGUGUCUUCUGAAAAACAGCUCUUGUUUAAAGCAGGAUCCAUCUCUGCAUAACUUAGGCAGGGCUGACCAUCAUCCUGGACGGCGUCGUCCUUGUUGGCGCAGAUUGUGUUGGGGGGCUGGUUGUUUGUGGGUGCCUUUAAUAUUCAACGGGGAGAAUACUGUUCUGAUUGAGGCAUUAUGCCUGCUGAGUUGUGAUAUUACAUCCAUCAUCUUGUUCAAAUAAAUAGUGCCGUAUCUAUAUGUUGGAAUGAAUAAAUAAAAGUGCUGCAGCAGGGAGGUUGGGCUGGAAACCAGAGGCCCAUGAUGCUCUUUGCUGGCUUUGAAAUGCCCUUGCAAAGAAGUAUUGAAAAUUUACCAGCCCACAAUGAGCCUUUUAAAUCUCCUAUUCCUUGCUACCACCAACCCCCGCACCAACCAAGAAUACGUUGCCAGCAGAGUUCUUUAUUUAGUUGGCAUUGGUUUAUUGACCCUGAUUGAAUUUGAAAUUGUAAGGCUGAGAGAGGAUUUGCAAAACAUUUGAAUACAUUUUGCUCAUGGUAUUGUUUUGUAACUUGGAGGAAUUUAUCUUUUUAGCCAAUCAGGUU